UUAAGCGACUAAGCGUACACGGUGGAUGCCCUGGCAGUCAGAGGCGAUGAAGGACGUGCUAAUCUGCGAUAAGCGUCGGUAAGGUGAUAUGAACCGUUAUAACCGGCGAUUUCCGAAUGGGGAAACCCAGUGUGUUUCGACACACUAUCAUUAACUGAAUCCAUAGGUUAAUGAGGCGAACCGGGGGAACUGAAACAUCUAAGUACCCCGAGGAAAAGAAAUCAACCGAGAUUCCCCCAGUAGCGGCGAGCGAACGGGGAGCAGCCCAGAGCCUGAAUCAGUGUGUGUGUUAGUGGAAGCGUCUGGAAAGGCGCGCGAUACAGGGUGACAGCCCCGUACACAAAAAUGCACAUGCUGUGAGCUCGAUGAGUAGGGCGGGACACGUGGUAUCCUGUCUGAAUAUGGGGGGACCAUCCUCCAAGGCUAAAUACUCCUGACUGACCGAUAGUGAACCAGUACCGUGAGGGAAAGGCGAAAAGAACCCCGGCGAGGGGAGUGAAAAAGAACCUGAAACCGUGUACGUACAAGCAGUGGGAGCACGCUUAGGCGUGUGACUGCGUACCUUUUGUAUAAUGGGUCAGCGACUUAUAUUCUGUAGCAAGGUUAACCGAAUAGGGGAGCCGAAGGGAAACCGAGUCUUAACUGGGCGUUAAGUUGCAGGGUAUAGACCCGAAACCCGGUGAUCUAGCCAUGGGCAGGUUGAAGGUUGGGUAACACUAACUGGAGGACCGAACCGACUAAUGUUGAAAAAUUAGCGGAUGACUUGUGGCUGGGGGUGAAAGGCCAAUCAAACCGGGAGAUAGCUGGUUCUCCCCGAAAGCUAUUUAGGUAGCGCCUCGUGAAUUCAUCUCCGGGGGUAGAGCACUGUUUCGGCAAGGGGGUCAUCCCGACUUACCAACCCGAUGCAAACUGCGAAUACCGGAGAAUGUUAUCACGGGAGACACACGGCGGGUGCUAACGUCCGUCGUGAAGAGGGAAACAACCCAGACCGCCAGCUAAGGUCCCAAAGUCAUGGUUAAGUGGGAAACGAUGUGGGAAGGCCCAGACAGCCAGGAUGUUGGCUUAGAAGCAGCCAUCAUUUAAAGAAAGCGUAAUAGCUCACUGGUCGAGUCGGCCUGCGCGGAAGAUGUAACGGGGCUAAACCAUGCACCGAAGCUGCGGCAGCGACGCUUAUGCGUUGUUGGGUAGGGGAGCGUUCUGUAAGCCUGUGAAGGUGUACUGUGAGGUAUGCUGGAGGUAUCAGAAGUGCGAAUGCUGACAUAAGUAACGAUAAAGCGGGUGAAAAGCCCGCUCGCCGGAAGACCAAGGGUUCCUGUCCAACGUUAAUCGGGGCAGGGUGAGUCGACCCCUAAGGCGAGGCCGAAAGGCGUAGUCGAUGGGAAACAGGUUAAUAUUCCUGUACUUGGUGUUACUGCGAAGGGGGGACGGAGAAGGCUAUGUUGGCCGGGCGACGGUUGUCCCGGUUUAAGCGUGUAGGCUGGUUUUCCAGGCAAAUCCGGAAAAUCAAGGCUGAGGCGUGAUGACGAGGCACUACGGUGCUGAAGCAACAAAUGCCCUGCUUCCAGGAAAAGCCUCUAAGCAUCAGGUAACAUCAAAUCGUACCCCAAACCGACACAGGUGGUCAGGUAGAGAAUACCAAGGCGCUUGAGAGAACUCGGGUGAAGGAACUAGGCAAAAUGGUGCCGUAACUUCGGGAGAAGGCACGCUGAUAUGUAGGUGAAGNUGGAGCUGAAAUCAGUCGAAGAUACCAGCUGGCUGCAACUGUUUAUUAAAAACACAGCACUGUGCAAACACGAAAGUGGACGUAUACGGUGUGACGCCUGCCCGGUGCCGGAAGGUUAAUUGAUGGGGUCAGCGCAAGCGAAGCUCUUGAUCGAAGCCCCGGUAAACGGCGGCCGUAACUAUAACGGUCCUAAGGUAGCGAAAUUCCUUGUCGGGUAAGUUCCGACCUGCACGAAUGGCGUAAUGAUGGCCAGGCUGUCUCCACCCGAGACUCAGUGAAAUUGAACUCGCUGUGAAGAUGCAGUGUACCCGCGGCAAGACGGAAAGACCCCGUGAACCUUUACUAUAGCUUGACACUGAACAUUGAGCCUUGAUGUGUAGGAUAGGUGGGAGGCUUUGAAGUGUGGACGCCAGUCUGCAUGGAGCCGACCUUGAAAUACCACCCUUUAAUGUUUGAUGUUCUAACGUUGACCCGUAAUCCGGGUUGCGGACAGUGUCUGGUGGGUAGUUUGACUGGGGCGGUCUCCUCCUAAAGAGUAACGGAGGAGCACGAAGGUUGGCUAAUCCUGGUCGGACAUCAGGAGGUUAGUGCAAUGGCAUAAGCCAGCUUGACUGCGAGCGUGACGGCGCGAGCAGGUGCGAAAGCAGGUCAUAGUGAUCCGGUGGUUCUGAAUGGAAGGGCCAUCGCUCAACGGAUAAAAGGUACUCCGGGGAUAACAGGCUGAUACCGCCCAAGAGUUCAUAUCGACGGCGGUGUUUGGCACCUCGAUGUCGGCUCAUCACAUCCUGGGGCUGAAGUAGGUCCCAAGGGUAUGGCUGUUCGCCAUUUAAAGUGGUACGCGAGCUGGGUUUAGAACGUCGUGAGACAGUUCGGUCCCUAUCUGCCGUGGGCGCUGGAGAACUGAGGGGGGCUGCUCCUAGUACGAGAGGACCGGAGUGGACGCAUCACUGGUGUUCGGGUUGUCAUGCCAAUGGCACUGCCCGGUAGCUAAAUGCGGAAGAGAUAAGUGCUGAAAGCAUCUAAGCACGAAACUUGCCCCGAGAUGAGUUCUCCCUGACCCUUUAAGGGUCCUGAAGGAACGUUGAAGACGACGACGUUGAUAGGCCGGGUGUGUAAGCGCAGCGAUGCGUUGAGCUAACCGGUACUAAUGAACCGUGAGGCUUAACCUU
rnacentral:rRNA from 1 species